rnacentral:snRNA from 1 species
GUUUUCAAAGUUGCUAACU